rnacentral:lncRNA from 1 species
CAAACGUAACUUCCUUAUAAUAUAGUGGUUACCAAGAGAACCCUGUACCAGAGGAUCCAGGAACACAAAAGGAAUAUAGCAAAGGAACAGACAAUGACCGCCUUAGCAGAAGCUGCAUACGUGGAGGAACUAGAAAUACAAUGGAAUCAGGAAAAAAUAAUAAAACCCAUAUUUAAAGAAUCCCAAGCCACACUAGAAAAAAAGCUUAGAAAUAUUAAGAGCAAAAACCAAAGGCCCAACAAUAAACAGGGGGAACAGCAAUGGACAUCCCAGAUGCCUGGAAGUGUCUUAUACAGCGGAGUGGGAGAGUAUAGUAAAACCAAAGCCAA